rnacentral:rRNA from 1 species
UCGAAAUCGAACGGAAGAACGACCCACGAACCGUCUUUGCGUAACGAACCGAGCUCGCGAGCAGCAAACGCUCGCGCGUCUCGUGUCGCGUCGGCGCGGUCCUCGAAAGGGCCACGCCGCACCGACAAACUAACAAUGUCAGCACGGAUCGUGCCAAGGAGCUGUACAUGCGAGAGUCGCCGUCCCACGCCCCCGGUCCCCCUCGACUGGGGGCGGGUGACAUGCGCGAUCUCCGCUCUUAGUCUUAAUGACUCUCGGCAACGGAUAUCUCGGCUCUUGCAUCGAUGAAGAACGUAGCGAAAUGCGAUACUUGGUGUGAAUUGCAGAAUCCCGCGAACCAUCAAUUCUUUGAACGCAAGUUGCGCCCGAAGCCAUCCGGCCGAGGGCACGCCUGCCUGGGUGUCGUGAAUCCCCUUGCCCCCGGGCACCCGCACGAGCAUCGUCGCGGAUAUGCCCGGGCGCAGAAUAUGGUCUCCCGUCGGAUCGGCGUGCGCUGCACGUCGUGGGGCGGUUGGCCGAAAAUCGAGCAUUGCGACGUCGGGCUCCACGGCGUUCGGUGGAUCGAACGCGAUUGGCUGCGCCGUGGUCCCGUCAUGCCGCGGGCUCCGGACUACGACGAUUCCCGUG